UCUACGGGAGGCUGCAGUAGGGAAUAUUGCUCAAUGGGGGAAACCCUGAAGCAGCAACGCCGCGUGGAGGAUGAAGGUUUUCGGAUUGUAAACUCCUUUUGUUAGAGAAGAUAAUGACGGUAUCUAACGAAUAAGCACCGGCUAACACCGUGCCAGCAGCCGCGGUAAUACGGAGGGUGCAAGAGUUACUCGGAUUCACUGGGCGUAAAGAGCGCGUAGGCGGGAUAGCAAGUCAGAUGUGAAAUCCUAUGGCUCAACCAUAGAACUGCAUUUUAAACUGUUAUUCUAGAGUAUAGGAGAGGUAGGUGGAAUUCUUGGUGUAGCGGUGAAAUGCGUAGAGAUCAAGAGGAAUACUCAGUGCGAAGGCGACCUGCUAGACCAUAACUGACGUUGAUGCGCGAAAGCGUGGGGAGCAAACAGGAUUAGAUACCCUAGUAGUC
rnacentral:rRNA from 1 species